GGAAUAAGCCCGGAAAACUGGGCCUAUUCCUGGAUAUUACCUUUAGCCACAGGGUUUUAGGUGGAAACAUUUAUCUGUUGGGGAUGGACUCGCGGCAUAUCAGCUUGUUGGUGAGGUAAUGGCUCACCAAGGCGACGACGGGCUGCCGGCCUGAGAUGAUGACCGGCCCCGCUGGGACUGAAACGCGGCCACUACUCCUACGGGAGGCAGUGGUGGGGAAUAUUGCACAAUGGGCGAAAGCCUGAUGCCAUGACGCCGCGUGAGGGAUGACGGCCUUAUUGUUGUAAACUUCUUUCUGUAAGGAAGAAGCGAAAGUGACGGUACCUGCAUUUUAACCGCCGGCUAACUACAUGCCCCCAGCCGCUCUAAUACCUAGGGCGCGGCGUUAUCCGGAUUUAUUGGGCGUAUAGAGCUCAUAGGCGGUUUGUCGCGUCUGCCUGGAUAGUUCGAUGCUCUGCCUCAUAUCUGCGGUGGGUACGGGCACAGUAUACUGAUGUGAGUGAGACUAGAAUUCCUGGUGUUGGGGGUGAUAUGCGCAGAUAUCAUGAGGAACACCGAUGGCGAAAGGCAGGUCUCUGGGCAUCUACUGACGCUGAGGAGCGUAAGCAUGGGGAGCGAACAAGGAUUAGAUACCCUGGUAGUCCAUGCCGUAAACGUUGGUGCACUACGUGUAGCGGAACAUUUCUACGUUUUCCGCGCCGUAGCCUAACGCAUUGACGUGCCCCGCCUGGUGAGUACGGCCGCAGGGCUAAAACUCAACGGAGUUGACAGGGGCCCGCACUAGCGGCGGAGCAUGCGGAUGAUUCGAUGCAACGCGAGUACCAUACCACGCAUGACAUGUCAGACUGCUCAAGAUGGGUUUCCAUCGGGCUGUCACAGUGUGCAUGUGUCGUCAGCUCGUGUCUGAGAUGUUGG
rnacentral:rRNA from 1 species